AGACUACAUCACUCAGAGAUACAGGGACAAGUAUUCGACAACGGAACCCAAAAUGAAGUUUGUGUUUUUCCUCACGAUAUGUGCGUUGGUUGUUAUGGUAACAUGCCAUGAAUCUAAGGAUGCAGAAAAUGACGAGAGGACAACACUUGAUGAAUUGUUUGAUGAAUUUGUAAAAGAGAGACUGGAGAAAAAGGCAAACUCCAAGAGAGGAUGUACUGUUUGGAAAGGUAUAGUAGAUUGCAGCUAAGUCCGGAGUCCCCUACGAUGAUUGGCUGAACCGACUCGUGACGUGUAUUAUAAUGAACACUAUAACAUCGCACAAUAGGAAGAGUGGCACCCACAAAUUAGCGAGUUGCAUGCCGAAAAUAAUUUUUUGAUGUAGAAUUUAUGCACUACUUGACUGUCGCACGAAUAUCCCAAUGUUUUGUUAUAAAUGAAAGUAACUAGAGACAAAAUGAAAGAUUAAUUCAAAUCAUCAUUGUAUUGACAGGAACAUAUGUGUUGACAUUUUUUGUUUGUUAUAGUAUUCCACGUAGAAUUUGUACAUACCUAUUUUAGAUAUUCCCCUUAAAGCCGUCAUUAAAUUAAAUUAAUAUUAUCUGAGAGAA